rnacentral:rRNA from 1 species
GACGAACGCUGGCGGCGUGCCUAAUACAUGCAAGUCGAGCGGACUUGACAGAGCUUGCUCUGUUCAAGUUAGCGGCGGACGGGUGAGUAACACGUGGGCAACCUGACCUGCAGAUUGGGAUAACUCCGGGAAACCGGGGCUAAUACCGAAUAACAUUGGAAACCUCAUGGUUUCCUUUUAAAAUGCGGCUACGGCUGUCACUGCAGGAUGGGCACGCGGCGCAUUAGCUAGUUGGUGAGGUACCGGCUCACCAAGGCGACGAUGCGUAGCCGACCUGAGAGGGUGAUCGGCCACACUGGGACUGAGACACGGCCCAGACUCCUACGGGAGGCAGCAGUAGGGAAUCUUCCGCAAUGGACGAAAGUCUGACGGAGCAACGCCGCGUGAGUGAAGAAGGUUUUCGGAUCGUAAAACUCUGUUGUCAGGGAAGAACAAGUAUGGGAGUAACUGCCCGUACCUUGACGGUACCUGGCCAGAAAGCCACGGCUAACUACGUGCCAGCCGCCGCAGUAACAC